rnacentral:rRNA from 1 species
GACGAACGCUGGCGGCGUGCUUAACACAUGCAAGUCGAACGAAGUGGCGAACGGGUGAGUAAUACGUGGGUAACCUGCCCUCCUUUUUGGGAUAAGCCUUGGAAACGGGGUCUAAUACCGAAUUAAGGGGGAUGUGCUCGCGGCCUAUCAGCUUGUUGGUGGGGUGCUGGGCUACCAAGGCGGUGACGGGUAGUCGGCCUGAGAGGGCGACCGGCGACAGUGGGACGGAGAUACGGCCCAGGGGACGACGGGAGGCAGCAGUGGGGGAUAUUGGAGAAUGGGCGAAGGCCUGAUGCCGCGUCGACGAGUGGGGGAUGAAGGCUGUAGAGUAGUAAACCUCUGUAGCAAUCGAACGGGUAGGUAGAGAAGAAGCGCCGGCUAACUACGUGCCAGCAGCCGCGGUAAUAC